UGGGGAAUUUUGGACAAUGGGCGCAAGCCUGAUCCAGCCAUGCCGCGUGCGGGAAGAAGGCCUUCGGGUUGUAAACCGCUUUUGUCAGGGAAGAAAUCUUCUGAGUUAAUACCUCGGGAGGAUGACGGUACCUGAAGAAUAAGCACCGGCUAACUACGUGCCAGCAGCCGCGGUAAUACGUAGGGUGCAAGCGUUAAUCGGAAUUACUGGGCGUAAAGCGUGCGCAGGCGGUUUUGUAAGACGGAGGUGAAAUCCCCGGGCUCAACCUGGGAACUGCCUUUGUGACUGCAAGGCUUGAGUGCGGCAGAGGGGGGAUGGAAUUCCGCGUGUAGCAGUGAAAUGCGUAGAUAUGCGGAGGAACACCGAUGGCGAAGGCAAUCCCCUGGGCCUGCACUGACGCUCAUGCACGAAAGCGUGGGGAGCAAAACAGGAUUAGAUACCCUGGUAGUCCACGCCCUAAACGAUGUCAACUGGUUGUUGGGAAGGUUCCUUCUCAGUAACGUAGCUAACGCGUGAAAGUUGACCGCCUGGGGAGUACGGCCGC
rnacentral:rRNA from 1 species